rnacentral:sRNA from 1 species
UACCUCGGACCGGGCCGGAGCCCAGUCGGGAC